rnacentral:lncRNA from 1 species
GGGGGGAAAGGAAGGAGGUUGGGGGGUCUUAAAGGGGACUCAGGGAGGCACUGAGGAUCUUGUUGUGGGUGCUGUGAGUUUGAGAUGCUUCCCAGUGCUCCCAGUAAGGGACCAGGACCCUUCCCAGUGCUCCCAGUAAGGCCCAGUGCUCCCAGUAAGGCCCUGAGACCCUUCCCAGUGCUCCCAGUAAGGCCCAGUGCUCCCAGUAAGGCCCUGAGACCCUUCCCAGUGCUCCCAGUAAGGCCCAGCGCUCCCAGUAAAGCAUCAGAAGCCUUCCCAGUGCUUCCAGUAAGGCCCUGGAACCCUUCCCAGAGCUCCCAGUAAGGCACUAAUGCCCUUCCCAGUGCUCCCAGUACCCCCCCAGUCUCUC